rnacentral:rRNA from 1 species
UGCAAGUCGAGCGAGGCCCUCCUUCGGGGGGUGCCCUAGCGGCGAACGGGUGAGUAACACGUGGGCAACCUGCCCUCAGCUCUGGGAUAACUCCAAGAAAUUGGUGCUAAUACCGGAUGUGACCGCUGACCGCAUGGUCUGGUGGUGGAAAGAUUCAUCGGCUGAGGAUGGGCCCGCGGCCUAUCAGCUUGUUGGUGGGGUAAUGGCCCACCAAGGCGACGACGGGUAGCCGGCCUGAGAGGGUGACCGGCCACACUGGGACUGAGACACGGCCCAGACUCCUACGGGAGGCAGCAGUGGGGAAUAUUGCGCAAUGGGCGAAAGCCUGACGCAGCGACGCCGCGUGAGGGAUGACGGCCUUCGGGUUGUAAACCUCUUUCAGUAGGGACGAAGCGCAAGUGACGGUACCUACAGAAGAAGCACCGGCCAACUACGUGCCAGCAGCCGCGGUAAUACGUAGGGUGCAAGCGUUGUCCGGAAUUAUUGGGCGUAAAGAGCUCGUAGGCGGUCUGUCACGUCGGCUGUGAAAACCCGAGGCUCAACCUCGGGCCUGCAGUCGAUACGGGCAAACUAGAGUACUGCAGGGGAGACUGGAAUUCCUGGUGUAGCGGUGAAAUGCGCAGAUAUCAGGAGGAACACCGGUGGCGAAGGCGGGUCUCUGGGCAGUAACUGACGC